AUCCAGCAGACGAGUCCCAAAUAGGACGAAACGCGUGUCCUGGAU
rnacentral:hammerhead_ribozyme from 1 species